rnacentral:piRNA from 1 species
UGAAUUUUUAUUCUGGAUCGCGUUA